rnacentral:lncRNA from 1 species
GCCGUUUGUGCCAUGUGCGUGCCAUUUGCAUGUGCUGUGCGCGUUUGCCAUGUGCGUGUGCUGUUUGCAUGUAUGUGCCAUGCGCGUAUGUGCUGCGUGUGUGCCGUGCACGUGCUGUGCGCAUAUUUGCCGUUUGUGUGUGUGCCAUGCAUAUGCCGUUUGUGUAUGCCGCGUGUGUGCUGUGAGCGUGUAUGCUGUGCACGUGUGCGUGUGCCAUGCACUUUGUGUGUGUGCCGUGCAUGUGUGCCGUUUGCACGUGUGCCGUUUGCAUGUGCGUGUGCCAUUUGCCUAUGUGCCAUUUGCAUGUGUGCUGUUUGUGCCGUUUUGUGUGUGCCGUGCGCGUGCCAUUUGCGUGUACCAUGUGCAUGUGCCGUUUGUGUGCCAUACACGUGUGCCAUUUGCGUGUAUGCCGUGCACGUGUGCUGUGCAUGUGCGCCGUUUGCGUGCCGUGCGUGUGCUGUUUGCAUGUGUGCCGUGCGCAUGUGCCAUGUGCGUGUGCCAUUUGCGUGUGUUGUUUGCAUGUACCAUGUGCAUGUGCCAUUUGUGUGUGCCGCAUUCCUGUGCUCGUGUGCCAGGUUCGCAUGUGCGCCAUGUUCCUGCGUGCAUGUGUGCUCAGUGUGUGCCAUAUGCAUGUGCGGUGGUCCUCACAGCACCAUGGGGAAGAGGCACCAGCCAGGGCACACCUUCUGGUAUCUGCUAGGUCUGCUGGGCCCUAGCUGAAGCUGAGUACCCCCGAGUUCCCCUGGGAGGGCCUGCACCUGGAGCCUGGUGUGUCCCCAAGGGCACCCCCAAAGCAACGCAGAGGCAGAGGAGGAGUCUGGGCCCCGCACACCUGGUGCUGUUCCGGCCACCACUCAUUUGCCUGUGGCCCUUCCUCCCUUGUUUGCGUGCCCCCCCGGCAAACAAACUCCACCCCCAGCAGGAGCCACCUGUGUGCCUGCCACGCAGAAGUGGCCCAGACGGGGGUCAGCAGUGUGAGUACAGCUGGCCAUGCGGUUCCUGCAGCUUCCAGGCAUCAGACCCCG